GUGGGGAAUAUUGCACAAUGGGGGAAACCCUGAUGCAGCGACGCCGCGUGAAGGAUGAAGUAUUUCGGUAUGUAAACUUCUAUCAGCAGGGAAGAAAAUGACGGUACCUGACUAAGAAGCCCCGGCUAACUACGUGCCAGCAGCCGCGGUAAUACGUAGGGGGCAAGCGUUAUCCGGAUUUACUGGGUGUAAAGGGAGCGUAGACGGCUAUGCAAGUCUGGUGUGAAAACCCGGGGCUCAACCCCGGGACUGCAUUGGAAACUGUGUGGCUUGAGUGUCGGAGAGGUAAGUGGAAUUCCUAGUGUAGCGGUGAAAUUCGUAGAUAUUCGGAGGAACACCAGUGGCGAAGGCGGCUCACUGGCUCGAUACUGACGCUGAGGUGCGAAAGCGUGGGGAGCAAACAGGAUUAGAUACCCCUGUAGUCC
rnacentral:rRNA from 1 species